AGCUCCAAUAGCGUAUAUUAAAGUUGUUGCAGUUAAAAAGCUCGUAGUUGGAUUUUGGAUUGUGUUUAAUGGUCUGCCGUGAGGUAUGCACUGUUAGGCGCUUUCUUCUUGUCAAAGACUGUGUGUGCUCUUAAUUGAGUGUGCUCAGGGUUUGGCACUUUUACUGUGAGAAAAUUAGAGUGUUUAAAGCAGGCGUUUGCUUGAAUAUUGCAGCAUGGAAUAAUGGAAUAGGAUCACGAUCUUAUUUUGUUGGUUUCUAGGAUCGAGAUAAUGAUUAAUAGGGAUAGUUGGGGACAUUAAUAUUUAAUUGUCAGAGGUGAAAUUCUUGGAUUUAUGAAAGAUUAACUUCUGCGAAAGCAUUUGUCAAGGAUGUUUUCGUUA
rnacentral:rRNA from 1 species